GUGCUCACUUUGGCAGCACACAUACUAAAACGGGAAUGAUACAGAGAAAGAUUAGCAUGGCCCCUGUGCAAGGAUGACAUGCAAAUUUGUAAAAGACUAUUUUAGUAUUU
ensembl:snRNA U6 U6 spliceosomal RNA